AGAGUUUGAUCCUGGCUCAGGAUGAACGCUAGCGGCAGGCCUAACACAUGCAAGUCGAGGGGCAGCACGGUGUAGCAAUACACUGGUGGCGACCGGCGCACGGGUGCGUAACGCGUAUGCAACCUACCCAUAACAGGGGGAUAACACUGAGAAAUUGGUACUAAUACCCCAUAACAUCAGAACCGGCAUCGGUUCUGGUUGAAAACUCCGGUGGUUAUGGAUGGGCAUGCGUUGUAUUAGCUGGUUGGUGAGGUAACGGCUCACCAAGGCAACGAUACAUAGGGGGACUGAGAGGUUAACCCCCCACAUUGGUACUGAGACACGGACCAAACUCCUACGGGAGGCAGCAGUGAGGAAUAUUGGUCAAUGGACGCAAGUCUGAACCAGCCAUGCCGCGUGCAGGAAGACGGCUCUAUGAGUUGUAAACUGCUUUUGUACGAGGGUAAACGCAGAUACGUGUAUCUGUCUGAAAGUAUCGUACGAAUAAGGAUCGGCUAACUCCGUGCCAGCAGCCGCGGUAAUACGGAGGAUCCAAGCGUUAUCCGGAUUUAUUGGGUUUAAAGGGUGCGUAGGCGGUUUGAUAAGUUAGAGGUGAAAUUUCGGGGCUCAACCCUGAACGUGCCUCUAAUACUGUUGAGCUAGAGAGUAGUUGCGGUAGGCGGAAUGUAUGGUGUAGCGGUGAAAUGCUUAGAGAUCAUACAGAACACCGAUUGCGAAGGCAGCUUACCAAACUAUAUCUGACGUUGAGGCACGAAAGCGUGGGGAGCAAACAGGAUUAGAUACCCUGGUAGUCCACGCAGUAAACGAUGAUAACUCGUUGUCGGCGAUACACAGUCGGUGACUAAGCGAAAGCGAUAAGUUAUCCACCUGGGGAGUACGUUCGCAAGAAUGAAACUCAAAGGAAUUGACGGGGGCCCGCACAAGCGGAGGAACAUGUG
rnacentral:rRNA from 1 species